rnacentral:rRNA from 1 species
AUUGAACGCUGGCGGCAGGCCUAACACAUGCAAGUCGAGCGGGGUUUUCGGACCUAGCGGCGGACGGGUGAGUAAUACGUAGGAAGCUACCCGAUAGAGGGGGAUACCAGUUGGAAACGACUGUUAAUACCGCAUAAUGUCUACGGACCAAAGUGUGGGACCUUCGGGCCACAUGCUAUCGGAUGUGCCUACGUGGGAUUAGCUAGUUGGUGGGGUAAUGGCUCACUAAGGCGACGAUCCCUAGCUGGUUUGAGAGGAUGAUCAGCCACACUGGAACUGAGACGCGGUCCAGACUCCUACGGGAGGCAGCAGUGGGGAAUAUUGGACAAUGGGCGCAAGCCUGAUCCAGCCAUGCCGCGUGUGAAGAAGGCCUUCGGGUUGUAAAGCACUUUCAGUAAGGAGGAAGCGUUGAGUGUUAAUAGUACUCAGCGUUGACGUUACUUACAGAAGAAGCACCGGCUAACUCUGUGCCAGCAGCCGCAGUAAUAC